AGAUUGAACGCUGGCGGCAUGCCUUACACAUGCAAGUCGAACGGCAGCGCGGGAGCAAUCCUGGCGGCGAGUGGCGAACGGGUGAGUAAUAUAUCGGAACGUGCCCUGGAGUGGGGGAUAACGCAGCGAAAGUUGCGCUAAUACCGCAUACGAUCUACGGAUGAAAGUGGGGGAUUCGCAAGAACCUCAUGCUCGUGGAGCGGCCGAUAUCUGAUUAGCUAGUUAGGUAGGGUAAAGCCUACCAAGGCAUCGAUCAGUAGCUGGUCUGAGAGGACGACCAGCCACACUGGGACUGAGACACGGCCCAGACUCCGUACGGGAGCAGCAGUGGGGAAUUUGGACAAGUGGGGGACAACCGUGAC
rnacentral:rRNA from 1 species